CCUACGUGUGGCUGCAGUGAGGAAUAUUGGUCAAUGGGCGCGAGCCUGAACCCGCCAAGUAGCGUGACGGAUGACUGCCCUACGGGUUGUAAACUUCUUUUAUCAAGGAAUAAAGUGAGGCACGUGUGCCUUUAUGUAUGUUCUUUAUGAAAAAGGAUCGGCUAACUCCGUGCCAGCAGCCGCGGUAAUACGGAGGAGCCGAGCGUUAUCCGGAUUUAUUGGGUUUAAAGGGAGCGUAGAUGGGAUGUUAAGUUAGUUGUGAAAGUUUGCGGGUCAACCGUAAAAUUGCAAUUGAUACUGGCAGUCUUGAGUACAAUUGAGGUAGGCGGAAUGCGUGGUGUAGCGGUGAAAUGCUUAGAUAUCACGAAGAACUCCGAUUGCGAAGGCAGCUUACGAAACUGCCACUGACAUUGAUGCACGAAAGUGUGGGUAUCAAACAGGAUUAGAUACCCCAGUAGUC
rnacentral:rRNA from 1 species